GGCGCGCCCUCGGUCCCUUCCCCGGGAGGUAGGUGGUUGACGGGCCCGCCGGGGAGCCAGGGAGCGCCGGGAAGCGCCGGGAAGCCAAGCUGCAGUGUUCCUCAGCAACAAGUCUCGCUGAGAUCCGACCCAGAGUUCGGCCUCUGACUAGACGCCUGGGAAUCCACUCCAGGUUCUUCGGAGACUCUUGGACUUACACCAGCGUUUUGCCGGGGGCUCUGUCGGCUGCACUGUCAGCUUCCCUACUUUUGAGACUUUUGGAAUCGGACUGAGCCACUACUGGCUUCCUUCUUUCUCAGCUUGGAGACAGCCUGUCAUGGACUUCGCCUUGUGAUCGUGGCAGGUGCAAGCGUGUUAGCCCCACCUGAACUGCAUGAACAGACUCCUUACUGCGAAGAGGUACGCUGUAAUCAAAAGAAAGGAAAAGGAGCACAGUUGAAUCUAAUUAACAGCUGUUAAUUAUACCUGGCACAUUUUUAGAAUUCCGUGAAAUGAAAAAGGAACAUUCUUUAAAAAAUAAUUUAGUUUUUCAACCAUUGUCCACU